CACAAACGUCCUCAAAGGUUGUCCAUCAAAUGUUCAUCAAAGAUUGACAAAUCACAAAACAUUAUGCAGCACAAACAUGAAACAAAAAUAAAUAUGAAUAAUGGAUAAACUGUCAAUAUAUAAACAGCUCAGACAUUUUCAGAUAGCCAUGAUAAUCAACGGGGCUCUACGACGUGCCAGCGUAGUGAAACGUAACCUUCCACGGAGUUGCAUUAUGUUCAGAAAACGCAUAGAGAGCCCAGAGAUGAUGAUCCCUUUUAUACUAUGGCUACAAUUUAGCAUAUUUGCAGCUGGAAUUUGUAGGAAGAAAUGUGUUUAUUAGCUAGCUACUGUAGUUGCCUUGGUAACCAACCAAACAGACUUGCUAGUUUAUCUAACCAAAACAUCAGUCAUAGCUUUCUAUUAUGAAAAUUAAAUUCAACAUUGCCAAACGUAGAACAUGUGAGAAUGAACUAUUGCUAUUGAGUUCUACCUUGCAAAUAUACAGUGUUUUAUUUACAGUUCAAACUUAUAUAUCAGGAAAUAAUGGAGCUCUAGAAUGCCCUUCAAACCAAUCAGAAACGAGUAUUCAACGAUGUCAUGGUAUGAACUGGAUUAAACACAUACAAAAUUGUAAGUAUAUAAUAAGAAGUUAUUUUAUUGUAAUUGUUGAAGUUAUAAUUGUCCUACUUAGUGCUGAGCCAGGGAGGGUAAAGGGAGAACACAGACCAGGGAGGAAGGACACAGACCAGGGAGGGAGAACACAGACCAGGGAGGGAGGAUAGAGGGAGAACACAGACCAGGGAGGGAGGAUAGAGGGAGAACACAGACCAGGGAGGAAGGACACAGACCAGGGAGGAAGGACACAGACCAGGGAGGGAGGAUAGAGGGAGAACACAGACCAGGGAGGAAGGACACAGACCAGGGAGUGAGGAUAGAGGGAGUACACAUUUUUUCUGAUGUUAUAUCCCUGAGCCUCUGAAUAAUAAACAUGUUAAAUAACUGAUCAUAUUAGAAAGUGUUGAACAAUCCCUGAUGGUUGUCAUUGUAAAGGAUUCAUCUACUGCUACUACUUGACAUUAAG
ensembl:lncRNA